AGCGUACACGGUGGAUGCCCUGGCAGUCAGAGGCGAUGAAGGACGUGCUAAUCUGCGAUAAGCGUCGGUAAGGUGAUAUGAACCGUUAUAACCGGCGAUUUCCGAAUGGGGAAACCCAGUGUGAUUCGUCACACUAUCAUUAACUGAAUCCAUAGGUUAAUGAGGCGAACCGGGGGAACUGAAACAUCUAAGUACCCCGAGGAAAAGAAAUCAACCGAGAUUCCCCCAGUAGCGGCGAGCGAACGGGGAGCAGCCCAGAGCCUGAAUCAGUGUGUGUGUUAGUGGAAGCGUCUGGAAAGGCGCGCGAUACAGGGUGACAGCCCCGUACACAAAAAUGCACAUGCUGUGAGCUCGAUGAGUAGGGCGGGACACGUGGUAUCCUGUCUGAAUAUGGGGGGACCAUCCUCCAAGGCUAAAUACUCCUGACUGACCGAUAGUGAACCAGUACCGUGAGGGAAAGGCGAAAAGAACCCCGGCGAGGGGAGUGAAAAAGAACCUGAAACCGUGUACGUACAAGCAGUGGGAGCACAGAGCAAUCUGUGUGACUGCGUACCUUUUGUAUAAUGGGUCAGCGACUUAUAUUCUGUAGCAAGGUUAACCGAAUAGGGGAGCCGAAGGGAAACCGAGUCUUAACUGGGCGUUAAGUUGCAGGGUAUAGACCCGAAACCCGGUGAUCUAGCCAUGGGCAGGUUGAAGGUUGGGUAACACUAACUGGAGGACCGAACCGACUAAUGUUGAAAAAUUAGCGGAUGACUUGUGGCUGGGGGUGAAAGGCCAAUCAAACCGGGAGAUAGCUGGUUCUCCCCGAAAGCUAUUUAGGUAGCGCCUCGUGAAUUCAUCUCCGGGGGUAGAGCACUGUUUCGGCAAGGGGGUCAUCCCGACUUACCAACCCGAUGCAAACUGCGAAUACCGGAGAAUGUUAUCACGGGAGACACACGGCGGGUGCUAACGUCCGUCGUGAAGAGGGAAACAACCCAGACCGCCAGCUAAGGUCCCAAAGUCAUGGUUAAGUGGGAAACGAUGUGGGAAGGCCCAGACAGCCAGGAUGUUGGCUUAGAAGCAGCCAUCAUUUAAAGAAAGCGUAAUAGCUCACUGGUCGAGUCGGCCUGCGCGGAAGAUGUAACGGGGCUAAACCAUGCACCGAAGCUGCGGCAGCGACGCUUAUGCGUUGUUGGGUAGGGGAGCGUUCUGUAAGCCUGCGAAGGUGUGCUGUGAGGCAUGCUGGAGGUAUCAGAAGUGCGAAUGCUGACAUAAGUAACGAUAAAGCGGGUGAAAAGCCCGCUCGCCGGAAGACCAAGGGUUCCUGUCCAACGUUAAUCGGGGCAGGGUGAGUCGACCCCUAAGGCGAGGCCGAAAGGCGUAGUCGAUGGGAAACAGGUUAAUAUUCCUGUACUUGGUGUUACUGCGAAGGGGGGACGGAGAAGGCUAUGUUGGCCGGGCGACGGUUGUCCCGGUUUAAGCGUGUAGGCUGGUUUUCCAGGCAAAUCCGGAAAACUAAGGCUGAGGCGUGAUGACGAGGCACUACGGUGCUGAAGCAACAAAUGCCCUGCUUCCAGGAAAAGCCUCUAAGCAUCAGGUAACAUCAAAUCGUACCCCAAACCGACACAGGUGGUCAGGUAGAGAAUACCAAGGCGCUUGAGAGAACUCGGGUGAAGGAACUAGGCAAAAUGGUGCCGUAACUUCGGGAGAAGGCACGCUGAUAUGUAGGUGAAGUCCCUCGCGGAUGGAGCUGAAAUCAGUCGAAGAUACCAGCUGGCUGCAACUGUUUAUUAAAAACACAGCACUGUGCAAACACGAAAGUGGACGUAUACGGUGUGACGCCUGCCCGGUGCCGGAAGGUUAAUUGAUGGGGUCAGCGCAAGCGAAGCUCUUGAUCGAAGCCCCGGUAAACGGCGGCCGUAACUAUAACGGUCCUAAGGUAGCGAAAUUCCUUGUCGGGUAAGUUCCGACCUGCACGAAUGGCGUAAUGAUGGCCAGGCUGUCUCCACCCGAGACUCAGUGAAAUUGAACUCGCUGUGAAGAUGCAGUGUACCCGCGGCAAGACGGAAAGACCCCGUGAACCUUUACUAUAGCUUGACACUGAACAUUGAGCCUUGAUGUGUAGGAUAGGUGGGAGGCUUUGAAGUGUGGACGCCAGUCUGCAUGGAGCCGACCUUGAAAUACCACCCUUUAAUGUUUGAUGUUCUAACGUUGACCCGUGAUCCGGGUUGCGGACAGUGUCUGGUGGGUAGUUUGACUGGGGCGGUCUCCUCCUAAAGAGUAACGGAGGAGCACGAAGGUUGGCUAAUCCUGGUCGGACAUCAGGAGGUUAGUGCAAUGGCAUAAGCCAGCUUGACUGCGAGCGUGACGGCGCGAGCAGGUGCGAAAGCAGGUCAUAGUGAUCCGGUGGUUCUGAAUGGAAGGGCCAUCGCUCAACGGAUAAAAGGUACUCCGGGGAUAACAGGCUGAUACCGCCCAAGAGUUCAUAUCGACGGCGGUGUUUGGCACCUCGAUGUCGGCUCAUCACAUCCUGGGGCUGAAGUAGGUCCCAAGGGUAUGGCUGUUCGCCAUUUAAAGUGGUACGCGAGCUGGGUUUAGAACGUCGUGAGACAGUUCGGUCCCUAUCUGCCGUGGGCGCUGGAGAACUGAGGGGGGCUGCUCCUAGUACGAGAGGACCGGAGUGGACGCAUCACUGGUGUUCGGGUUGUCAUGCCAAUGGCACUGCCCGGUAGCUAAAUGCGGAAGAGAUAAGUGCUGAAAGCAUCUAAGCACGAAACUUGCCCCGAGAUGAGUUCUCCCUGACUCCUUGA
rnacentral:rRNA from 1 species